rnacentral:rRNA from 1 species
AGAGUUUGAUUCUGGCUCAGAUUGGACCCAGGCGGAAUGCUUUACACAUGCAAGUCGAACGGCAGCACGGGUGCUUGCACCUGGUGGCGAGUGGCGAACGGGUGAGUAAUGCGUCGGAACGUACCGAGUAAUGGGGGAUAACGCGGCGAAAGUCGCGCUAAUACCGCAUACGCCCUGAGGGGGAAAGUGGGGGAUCGCAAGACCUCACGUUAUUCGAGCGGCCGACGUCUGAUUAGCUAGUUGGUGGGGUAAAGGCCUACCAAGGCGACGAUCAGUAGCGGGUCUGAGAGGAUGAUCCGUCACACUGGGACUGAGACACGGCCCAGACUCCUACGGGAGGCAGCAGUGGGGAAUUUUGGACAAUGGGGGCAACCCUGAUCCAGCCAUUCCGCGUGAGUGAAGAAGGCCUUCGGGUUGUAAAGCUCUUUCAGCUGGAACGAAACGGUACGCUCUAACAUAGCGUGCUAAUGACGGUACCGGCAGAAGAAGCACCGGCUAACUACGUGCCAGCAGCCGCGGUAAUACGUAGGGUGCGAGCGUUAAUCGGAAUUACUGGGCGUAAAGCGUGCGCAGGCGGAUUGUUAAGCAAGACGUGAAAGCCCCGGGCUUAACCUGGGAAUGGCGUUUUGAACUGGCAGUCUAGAGUGCGUCAGAGGGGGGUGGAAUUCCACGUGUAGCAGUGAAAUGCGUAGAGAUGUGGAGGAACACCAAUGGCGAAGGCAGCCCCCUGGGAUGACACUGACGCUCAUGUACGAAAGCGUGGGUAGCAAACAGGAUUAGAUACCCUGGUAGUCCACGCCCUAAACGAUGUCAACUGGUUGUUGGGGGAGUGAAAUCCCUUAGUAACGAAGCUAACGCGUGAAGUUGACCGCCUGGGGGAGUACGGUCGCAAGAUUAAAACUCAAAUGAAUUGACGG